rnacentral:rRNA from 1 species
UACGGAGGGUGCAAGCGUUAUCCGGAUUCACUGGGUUUAAAGGGUCCGUAGGCGGAUCUGUAAGUCAGUGGUGAAAUCUCACAGCUUAACUGUGAAACUGCCAUUGAUACUGCAGGUCUUGAGUGUUGUUGAAGUAGCUGGAAUAAGUAGUGUAGCGGUGAAAUGCAUAGAUAUUACUUAGAACACCAAUUGCGAAGGCAGGUUACUAAGCAACAACUGACGCUGAUGGACGAAAGCGUGGGGGAGCGAACAGG